UAGUAAAAGGACAUUACACUGCCUUGUCAAGGCAGAAUUGUGGGUUAAAGCCCCGCGGGUCCUG
rnacentral:tRNA from 1 species